CCAACGUUCAGUGUGGUGAUACCCAAGGAGAAGAGAGGGUGUAUCGCUGUUUUUGCUCUGGAUUUCUGCACUAGUUUGUCAAACCCUGUGAUGAUAAGGUGUGCUGUGACCAAGGAGUGAGAUGAUCUGACGAGUGAACAAGCCAUCGCCAAUAAGUGUCUCCAUAACACACGACGUGCUGACACGGGAGCUGCUGUGAUCAGGAGCUAUCAGGACCACGCACGACCAUUACAUCCGAAGUGAGGCGGCGAGCGGCCCGGCUGGUCAGCUGGUCUGCAGAGACAAAGGUGAUGGACUUUGAACUACACGAGUCUCGCUACGGACCUGCCCAGAAUCAAGAAGUUUGGAGGCCGAGACAGAAACAGAAGCAGAAGGACGGAAGAUCAGUUAACGACAACACAAAGAGAGUGGACUACCCAGCGAGGCGAAGAGAGAAACACAGCCAUCCCUAUUACACUACUGACACCAAUAGCAGCAGUGAAUCCUUUGCCAGAGCUUGUGAUAUGGUGGUCUUGGAAUAUUGAGCCACUAAGGUACAGCUGCUGCAAUCUGCUUGGACCCGGAGACCAUGGAAAGGAACUGCAAGCAACAGAUGUGCGCAGAGCAGACGUCAGGGUGAUGCUUGCUGGCCGUUUUAGUGUGAAUGUGUCAUCCUGACUCGGCUACUUCAAUUUCCUUCACUGAGGGAGACAAGUUAUCUGCUGCUGAACGUUAUAAUCUUACACUACACCAACAACCAACCAAAUGACCUGUGGCAGGCAACGUCGGCCAGUGGGGUGUUCGGUACGACAACAUGGGACGGACGUAAACAUCGCAGCCGGACAGGUGAAGAAGGCUAAACGCAUAACUUUGUGUACAUUAUCGUAUCAUUGCUAUGUGCAAGAAGAAAAGGGACAGGAGAGACAAGAAACAUUGGUUGGAACUGUUCUAUUUAUUUUCCAACCACCUAGUGGUUGGAAAAAUCUUGUUUCUCUUGUCCCACU
rnacentral:lncRNA from 1 species